CACACAGUAAACGAUAAUCACUAGGUGUUGGGUUCGUAUAGGACUCGGUGCCGGAGCUAACGCGAUAAGUGAUUCGCCUGGGGAGUACGAUCGCAAGGUUGAAACUCAAAGGAAUUGACGGGGGCCCGCACAAGCGGUGGAGCAUGUGGUUUAAUUCGACGCAACGCGAAGAACCUUACCCGGUCUUGACAUCUGCAGAAUUCUUCAGAGAUGGAGGAGUGCCGGCUUGCCGGAGCUGCAAGACAGGUGC
rnacentral:rRNA from 1 species